rnacentral:lncRNA from 1 species
GGGCAUCAUUAUUCCUAAGACAGACAGUAUAGUUGCUUAUACUCUGCUCAAGAGGUGUGAUUGAUUAAUAUGAGACCAAAGCGAGAUCAAUCUAAAAGAUGUAGAUGAAUGCCAUUCUAGAGAUCAGUAAACAACUAACAAUUAGAAGUAUAUAAACAGAUAGUAGAAAUAAAACAUGCUCAUAAAAAAAUACAAAAAAAAAUAUGAAUGGGA